AUGAACGCUAGCUACAGGCUUAACACAUGCAAGUCGAGGGGCAGCAUGGUCUUAGCUUGCUAAGGCCGAUGGCGACCGGCGCACGGGUGAGUAACGCGUAUCCAACCUGCCUUACACUCUUGGACAGCCUUCUGAAAGGGAGAUUAAUACAAGAUGUUAUCAUGAGUAAGCAUUUUCGCAUGAUUAAAGGUUUACCGGUGUAAGAUGGGGAUGCGUUCCAUUAGAUAGUAGGCGGGGUAACGGCCCACCUAGUCUUCGAUGGAUAGGGGUUCUGAGAGGAAGGUCCCCCACAUUGGAACUGAGACACGGUCCAAACUCCUACGGGAGGCAGCAGUGAGGAAUAUUGGUCAAUGGACGAGAGUCUGAACCAGCCAAGUAGCGUGAAGGAUGAAGGUUCUAUGGAUUGUAAACUUCUUUUAUACGGGAAUAAACGGAUCCACGUGUGGAUUUUUGCAUGUACCGUAUGAAUAAGGAUCGGCUAACUCCGUGCCAGCAGCCGCGGUAAUACGGAGGAUCCGAGCGUUAUCCGGAUUUAUUGGGUUUAAAGGGAGCGUAGAUGGGUUGUUAAGUCAGUUGUGAAAGUUUGCGGCUCAACCGUAAAAUUGCAAUUGAUACUGGCAGUCUUGAGUACAGUUGAGGUAGGCGGAAUUCGUGGUGUAGCGGUGAAAUGCUUAGAUAUCACGAAGAACUCCGAUUGCGAAGGCAGCUUACUAACCUGUAACUGACAUUGAUGCUCGAAAGUGUGGGUAUCAAACAGGAUUAGAUACCCUGGUAGUCCACACGGUAAACGAUGAAUACUCGCUGUAGGCGAUAUACAGUCUGCGGCCAAGCGAAAGCAUUAAGUAUUCCACCUGGGGAGUACGCCGGCAACGGUGAAACUCAAAGGAAUUGACGGGGGCCCGCACAAGCAGUGGAGUAUGUGGUUUAAUUCGAAGCAACGCGAAGAACCUUACCAGGGCUUGACAUAUGCAGGAAUAUGUUAGAGAUAGCAUAGCUCUUCGGAGUCUGCAUACAGGUGGUGCAUGGUUGUCGUCAGCUCGUGUCGUGAGAUGUUGGGUUAAGUCCCGCAACGAGCGCAACCCUUAAGCUUAGUUGCCAUCAUUAAGUUGGGCACUCUAAGUUGACUGCCGGUGACAAACCGGAGGAAGGUGGGGAUGACGUCAAAUCAGCACGGCCCUUACGUCCGGGGCUACACACGUGUUACAAUGGGGGGUACAGAGGGCUGCUACCACGCAAGUGGAUGCCAAUCCCAAAAACCUCUCUCAGUUCGGAUUGAAGUCUGCAACCCGACUUCAUGAAGCUGGAUUCGCUAGUAAUCGCGCAUCAGCCACGGCGCGGUGAAUACGUUCCCGGGCCUUGUACACACCGCCCGUCAAGCCAUGGGAGCCGGGGGUACCUGAAGUGCGUAACCGCAAGGAGCGCCCUAGGGUAAAACUGGUGACUGGGGCU
rnacentral:rRNA from 1 species